rnacentral:rRNA from 1 species
ACUCCUACGGGAGGCAGCAGUGGGGGAAUAUUGCACAAUGGGGGAAAACCCUGAUGCAGCCAUGCCGCGUGUGUGAAGAAGGCCUUCGGGUUGUAAAGCACUUUCAGUAGGGAGGAAGGUAGUGUAGUUAACACCUGCAUUAUUUGACGUUACCUACAGAAGAAGCACCGGCUAACUCCGUGCCAGCAGCCGCGGUAAGUACGGAGGGUGCGAGCGUUAAUCGGAAUUACUGGGCGUAAAGCGCAUGCAGGCGGCCUUGUUAAGUCAGAUGUGAAACGCCCGGGGUCUUAACCGUCGGAAUUGCAUUUGAAACUGGCAGGCUAGAGUCUUGGUAGAGGGGUUAGAAUUUCGAGGUGUAGCGGUAGAAAUGCGUAG